UACGGAGGGUGCAAGCGUUAUCCGGAUUCACUGGGUUUAAAGGGUGCGUAGGCGGGCAGAUAAGUCAGUGGUGAAAUACCUGAGCUUAACUUGGGAACUGCCAUUGAUACUAUUUGUCUUGAAUGUCGUGGAGGUUAGCGGAAUAUGUCAUGUAGCGGUGAAAUGCUUAGAGAUGACAUAGAAUACCUAUUGCGAAGGCAGCUUACUACGCAGAUAUUGACGCUCAUGCACGAAAGCGUGGGGAUCAAACAGG
rnacentral:rRNA from 1 species